AUUGAACGCUGGCGGCAUGCUUUACACAUGCAAGUCGAACGGCAGCGCGGGCUUCGGCCUGGCGGCGAGUGGCGAACGGGUGAGUAAUGCAUCGGAACGUGCCCAGUAGUGGGGGAUAGCCCAGCGAAAGCCGGAUUAAUACCGCAUACGACCUGAGGGUGAAAGCGGGGGGCCGAAAGGCCUCGCGCUAUUGGAGCAGCCGAUGUCGGAUUAGCUAGUUGGUGGGGUAAAGGCUUACCAAGGCGACGAUCCGUAGCUGGUCUGAGAGGACGACCAGCCACACUGGGACUGAGACACGGCCCAGACUCCUACGGGAGGCAGCAGUGGGGAAUUUUGGACAAUGGGGGCAACCCUGAUCCAGCCAUGCCGCGUGCGGGAAGAAGGCCUUCGGGUUGUAAACCGCUUUUGUUCGGGAAGAAAUCCUCUGGGCUAAUACCCCGGGGGGAUGACGGUACCGGAAGAAUAAGCACCGGCUAACUACGUG
rnacentral:rRNA from 1 species